CGUAGGGUGCGAGCGUUAAUCGGAAUUACUGGGCGUAAAGCGUGCGCAGGCGGUUAUAUAAGACAGUUGUGAAAUCCCCGGGCUCAACCUGGGAAUUGCGUCUGUGACUGUAUAGCUAGAGUACGGUAGAGGGGGAUGGAAUUCCGCGUGUAGCAGUGGAAUGCGUAGAUAUGCGGAGGAACACCGAUGGCGAAGGCAAUCCCCUGGACCUGUACUGACGCUCAUGCACGAAAGCGUGGGGAGCAAACAGGAUUAGAUACCCUGGUAGUCCACGCCCUAAACGAUGUCAACUGGUUGUUGGGUGCAUUAGUACUCAGUAACGAAGCUAACGCGUGAAGUUGACCGCCUGGGGAGUACGGCCGCAAGGUUG
rnacentral:rRNA from 1 species